rnacentral:lncRNA from 1 species
UUAUGUAUUUAUUUACUUAGUAUUCAUUACUUGUUUAGUCAUAAAAUCGACUUAAUUAUACUUUUUUUUAGCUUUAUUCAACGCAACUUUGUAUUCCAUAUUUUUCUAAUAUUCAAUUAGAAAGUUAAAAGCUAAAUUGAAAAAAUGUAUAUUAAUCGGGAAAUAAUUUAUUAAAUUUCAAAUAAAAUUCUUGAUUUUAUUCAAUUUUUUAAUCAUUAGACAUAUUUUUAAGAGUUUUAAUCAAGAUAACUUAAUUAAUAAUUUAUCUUUCAAAUGCUUGAAUGUUUUUAUAAUUGUUAAUUACGUAUAGAGAUUUCACGUCGCAAUAUGACUCUGAGUUGUAGUUUUACUGUAAAAAGUGGAUUCCGAAAAAAAAAAAAAAAAUCUAUAAACCUAUAUAUGUUGAUUGUUUUAAUUGCAUUUUUCUUGUUCUACAACUAAAAUAGCAAUAAUGAUCGUAGAUUUCAGAACGUGGCAAUAAUUCUGUUAAAUGGUGUUAUCCCUAAAUUAAAAGCAAAUGUCUGUGCGUGUUUAUGUGUCUGGGAAUCAUGCCCAAAUAAAUGAAUUGAUUUUUCAGAAAAUUUUCAUGUAGGUUUUUUAAGGGUCCAGAGGUGGUUCUGAUAGCAAUUUUUUUGCCCUUCAAGAAGACCCUGUCGGACUUAAAAGCAUUUUUCUGAAAACGAAUUUUUGACAAACAAACGACUAAUUUAUAUAAAACAAAAAAUAAAUUCUUAGCAGUUCUUUAAUAUUUCAAUGCCACUUUUAUAAAAUGCUUUAUCUUUUGCAACAAAGUAGUCCUUAGUUUCAGCGAUAACCUCCUCAUUCGAGCGAAAUUUCUUUCUGGCAAGACUAUUUUUUGGUCCAUGAAGAGCCAGUAGUAGCUGGAGACAAAUUUGGAGAGUACAGUGGAUACAGAAGCAAUACAAAGUCCAAAUCAUCUAGUUUUGCUAUGGUUUUGAUUGACUUGUGACAUAGUGUGUUAUCCAGGUGAAACAGCACAUUCCUCUUCUUCAAAUGUGGAAGCUUUUCUGGGAUUUCGCACUUUGAACAACCUGAUAACGCUAUAUCAUGUUCACUGUUGAUUGUAUUUCUCUUUUCAACGUAGUCUAUAAAUAUUAUAGCAUGAACAUCACAAAAUACUUCAUUUUCAUUUGUGAGUUAUUGAGCUCAGUGUGACACUACUUAUAUUAUUCCCACGGAUUCUUUGGCUUUCAGACGCUUUGGACGAGUUUCAUCAGUAUCUGUCCACUGAGAUGAUGAUCGUUUUCAUUCUGGAGUUUUUUUAUGUAUUCUAUUGUUACUGCCUCAUUUGGAAGUCUUCUAUGUUCUGCAUCAUUGGUCUACGAAAACAGUAGAAGUCCCCAAAUCAACGUUUAAUUGUUAUUUUUGCUGGAGUAAAGUCCGUAUAACAAGCACUUGUUUAGGUUGAACAGUAUUUUUCCCAUCAAGAAUAAGUGUAAAAUUAAAACACGAAAUUGUUUGUAUCUAUUGUUUUGGAAAUAAAAAAAAGUAAUGUUUAUUGUUUAUUGCCUUCGCCCCUCUCUUGUCACAGCUGAUUGUAACUGAUCUCCUUCAUAAUAUUUUUCAAAUUGUCAUGGUCACCUUGUUGAUUUUCUGUUUCUUUUUUUUUUUUUUAAUAUGCCCAUUAUAUAUACAAUUUUCAUCACUACACAAAAGAUAAAUUUGACUCAGUUGAAAAAAGCCCAAAUGCCGUUCUUAUUCCAGAUAUCUAGAGUUCCACGAAGGAAGUAUUCACUUCUCAUAUUUACAAAUUAGAAAUGGAAAACUAUUUAGUUGCAAAUGAAAGUAAGGUACCAAAUCCAUCUAUUGUGAACACGUAAUACGUGUAUGGACAAUUUAUUUCAAAGAACUUAGCAUAUUAUAAUCUUUAAACCCCAGCAACUCUCUGUUUCAAGAGGAAAAGUUUUCUUGAUUUAAAAUGUACCUUCUUUGUAUUAGUGAAAAAAAAAAAAACAAUACUACAUUCAAUAUUGACUUAAUUUAAAUCAUUAUAUUGUCAUUUUUCCUCCCCCAAAUAAUAAUUAUUUAAAAUCACUCAACUUCAUUAUUUUGACAGGUAGAGUUAUUGAGGUUUGAAGAUUAUAAUAUGCUAAGUUCUUAGAAAUAAAUUGAGUGCACUCUUAUCAUGAUGUCAGAUGGGAUACCCCACUUUAAGUGUUUUUGUAAUUGAAACAAACAAUUUCAGUAAUGUAGAGGAACAUUUGGUAUAUUCUUGUUGGAUUUACCCAUUUCUUAAAUUUAUUAGAAUUAUCGGUAAUAAAAAUAUUUAUUUUCUUGGUUUG